rnacentral:rRNA from 1 species
UACGGAGGGUGCAAGCGUUAUCCGGAUUUACUGGGUUUAAAGGGUGCGUAGGUGGGUAGGUAAGUCAGUGGUGAAAUCUUCAAGCUUAACUUGGAAACUGCCAUUGAUACUAUUUAUCUUGAAUACUCUGGAGGUAAGCGGAAUAUGUCAUGUAGCGGUGAAAUGCUUAGAUAUGACAUAGAACACCAAUUGCGAAGGCAGCUUACUACAUAGUUAUUGACACUGAGGCACGAAAGCGUGGGGAUCAAACAGG